UGCAAGUGGAGCGACGAACCGGGGCUUGCCCCGGGGCAGAGCCGCGAACGGGUGAGUAACACGUGGGUUACCUGCCCCGAUGACUGGGACAACCCGUCGAAAGACGGGCUAAUACCGGAUGUGCCCUUUGGGGGAAAGGAAGCUUCGGCCUCCGCAUCGGGAUGGGCCCGCGGCGCAUUAGCUUGUUGGUGGGGUAAUGGCUUACCAAGGCGACGAUGCGUAGCUGGUCUGAGAGGACGAUCAGCCACACUGGGACUGAGACACGGCCCAGACUCCUACGGGAGGCAGCAGUGGGGAAUCUUGCACAAUGCGCGAAAGCGUGAUGCAGCAACGCCGCGUGCGGGAAGAAGGCCUUAGGGUUGUAAACCGCUUUCAGUUGGGACGAAGCUUCGCUGGUGAAUAGCCAAUUGGAGUGACGGUACCUUCAGAAGAAGCGCCGGCUAACUACGUGCCAGCAGCCGCGGUAAUACGUAGGGCGCGAGCGUUGUCCGGAAUCAUUGGGCGUAAAGCGCGUGUAGGCGGCUGAGUAAGUCUGCUGUGAAAGUCCAGGGCUCAACCCUGGAAUGUCGGCAGAUACUGCUUAGCUAGAGUACGGGAGGGGCGAGUGGAAUUCCUGGUGUAGCGGUGGAA
rnacentral:rRNA from 1 species